AUUAGGAUGGUGCAAAAGUAAUGUGGUUUUUUUCUUUACUUUUAAUGGCAAAGACUGCAAUUACUUUUGCGCCAACCUAAU
ensembl:miRNA MIR548U microRNA 548u